UACGUGCCAGCAGCCGCGGUAAUACGUAGGGCGCGAGCGUUGUCCGGAUUUAUUGGGGCGUAAAGAGCUCGUAAGGUGGUUCGUCGCGUCUGUCGUGAAAGCCAGCAGCUUAACUGUUGGUCUGCGGUGGGUACGGGCGGGCUUGAGUGCGGUAGGGGUGACUGGAAUUCCUGGUGUAGCGGUGGAAUGCGCAGAUAUCAGGAGGAACACCGAUGGCGAAGGCAGGUCACUGGGCCGUUACUGACACUGAGGAGCGAAAGCGUGGGGAGCGAACAGGAUUAGAUACCCUGGUAGUCCACGCUGUAAACGUUGGGAACUAGGUGUGGGGAUGCUAUCCUGUGUUUCUGCGCCGUAGCUAACGCAUUAAGUUCCCCGCCUGGGGAGUACGGUCGCAAGGCUAAAACUCAAAGGAAUUGACGGGGGCCCGCACAAGCGGCGGAGCAUGCGGAUUAAUUCGAUGCAACGCGAAGAACCUUACCAAGGCUUGACAUACACUGCGAUGGUUCCAGAGAUGGGCCAGCCUUCGGGGUGGUGUACAGGUGGUGCAUGGUUGUCGUCAGCUCGUGUCGUGAGAUGUUGGGUUAAGUCCCGCAACGAGCGCAACCCUUGCCUCAUGUUGCCAGCGGUUCGGCCGGGGACUCGUGAGGGACUGCCGGGGUUAACUCGGAGGAGGGUGGGGAUGACGUCAAAUCAUCAUGCCCCUUAUGUCUUGGGCUUCACGCAUGCUACAAUGGCCAGUACAGAGGGUUGCGAUACCGUGAGGUGGGGCUAAUCUCUUAAAGCUGGUCUCGGUUCGGAUUGGGGUCUGCAACUCGACCCCAUGAAGUUGGAGUCGCUAGUAAUCGCAGAUCAGCAUUGCUGCGGUGAAUACGUUCUCGGGCC
rnacentral:rRNA from 1 species